rnacentral:rRNA from 1 species
GACGAACGCUGGCGGCGUGCCUAACACAUGCAAGUCGAGCGGUUCUUAAGCUGUAGUUUACUAUAGCUUAAGAAUAGCGGCGAACGGGUGAGUAACACGUGGGCAACCUGUCCGAAAGAUCGGGAUAACAGUCCGAAAGGGCUGCUAAUACCGAAUACGCUUACCGGGUCGCAUGAUCCGGUAAGGAAAGGUCGGCAACUUCCGCUUUCGGGUGGGCCCGCGUCCCAUUAGCUAGUUGGUAGGGUAACGGCCUACCAAGGCAACGAUGGGUAGCUGGUCUGAGAGGAUGGUCAGCCACACUGGGACUGAGACACGGCCCAGACUCCUACGGGAGGCAGCAGUGGGGAAUCUUGCGCAAUGGGCGAAAGCCUGACGCAGCGACGCCGCGUGAGCGAGGAAGGCCUUCGGGUCGUAAAGCUCUUUCGGCGGGGAAGAAUGGUUUCGGUUAAUACCCGGAGCUGAUGACGGUACCGCAUAAGAAGCACCGGCUAACUACGUGCCAGCAGCCCGACGGUAAAGUACUCUA